rnacentral:lncRNA from 1 species
CCUUUCUUCAAGUCGCAUUGACGUAAGAAGAGUUGUAUUUUUAUAGAAAGAAAAUAUUUUGCCUAAUCGCCUUCAAAGGAGCCUUGUACACAAUCUCUAGAGGAGAGUGUGCACAGAGGAGAGAUCAUGUGAGGACACAGCGAGAAGACAAUCAUCUGUAAGCCAAGGAGAGAGGCCUCAGAAAAAAAUCCACCCUGCUAAGAGCUUGAUCUUGGACUUACAGCCUCCAGGACUAUCUCAAAUUAACAGCCCAUUAUUAUGGAAGUUCUUUAUUGAUCGCCAAAAUGGGUUAGGUAUACCUGUUAUACUCUGUUUUUCUACAAAUGGAAAGUUUGUGGCAUCCUUGACUCAAGCAAAUUUUUCAGCACCAUUUUUCAAGAGCGUGUGCUCACUUCACCUCUCUGUAUCGUGUUUUGAUGCUUGUCCUGGAAACCAACCAUGAGCUGUGAUGAAAUCCAGGCAACUGAGUUGUGUUUCAGCCCAAAGCAGCAAAUGGAAUCCAGCUUCAGGACCAUCAUCUGACAUAGGGGAAGAAGACUUACAUAGAAGGCCUAACCAGCACCCAAGAUCAUUAAUGAUUAAAGGGUAAAUUAACCAGGAAGACAUAGCAACUGUAAAUGUUUGUGUAGACACAUUUACAUGAACCAAAAUUUGACAGAAUUAAGGCUCAUAGGUGGAGGAGACUUGCUUUGUCUCAGAUGAGACUUUGGACUGUGGACUUUUGAGUUAAUGCUGAAAUGAGUUGAGACUUUGGGGAACUGUUGGGAAGGCAUGAUUGGUUUUAAAUAUGAAUAUAUGAGAUUUGGGAGGGGGUCAGGGGUGGAAUGAUAUGGUUUGGCUCUGUGUCCCCACCCAAAUCUCAUCUUGUAGCUCCCAUAAUCCUCCCAUGUUGUGGGAGGGACCCAGUGGGAGAUGAUUGAAUCAUGAGGGCGGGUCUUUCUCAUGCUGUUCAUGAUCCCAUUCAUGUGAGAAAGACCCAUGUGAUCAUGAAUGGGUCUCACAAGAUCUGAUGGUGUUAAAAAUGGGAGUUUCUCUGCACAAGCUCUCUGCCUGCUGCCAUUCACAAAGGAUGUGACUUGCUUCUCCUUGCCUUCUGCUAUGAUUGUGAGGCCUCCCUAGCCAUGUGGAACUGUGAGUCCAAUUAAACCUCUUUCUUUUGUAAAUU